UCGGCUCCAUGAAUCGCUUGGCUUUUUCUAGAGUGGAAGAAGGAGCGGCUUUGAACAGAAGGGGACAAGGAGAGUGGGCUAUUGUUAACAAUUCAAACAAUUUGAGAUUCAAAGAUGUUGCUUGUUUUAAAGAUCAUAUAUAUGGACUUUGUGAUAAUGGCAUGCUGGUGCGCUUUGACCUUGAUGCUCCUUUGUCAGCUGAGGUACAAGUUAUUGUUUCCCAUCCAAGCAAAGAAGAUGUAGGCACACCCCAAAAACUAUAUUUGAUGGAGACAUCGAAAAAUCUUUACGGGGUUUUUCGUUAUGAAUUUUAUAUUCCUUCAAAGAUGAGGCAUGAGACUAUAUAUUUUUUGGUCUAUAAGUUUGACUUCGGUGCCAAGGUUUGGGAGGAGGUGAGAGGCUUGGAAGAUCAAGUUUUUUUUGUUGGCCAUGGCAAUUCCUGUUGCAUUCCUACAAGCACUAUCAAUAGCAGACGUAAUUGCAUAUACUUCACAGACGACAAUUGGGAUUCGCAAAGGUACCCAGGAGUGGCAUAUGGAGGCCAUGACGUGGGAGUGUUUGACAUGGCAACUAGGGUUAUUCAACCCCUUCCAUUCGGAGUAUUGUUUAAUUCAUUGCAUAGUGUCAUGGAUGCCAAUGAAGAUUUGAGUCCUAGAGUCAUGGAUGACAAUGAAGAUUUGAGUCCUAGAGCUGGUAUGGAAUUUGAUACAUUAGAAGAUGCAUGGGAAUUUUGGCUAAAAUAUGGAAGGCGAAUGGGCUUUGAUGUUAGAAAGCAUUACAUAAAUAAAAGUAAGAAGGAUGGAAAGAUAACAUCAAGGGGAUUUGUAUGUGCAAAGCAGGGCAUUCGAGGUUCAGAAAAAGAAGAUAUGAUUCGCACUCGUAACCGAGACGAUACAAGGACUAAUUGUCCUGUAAAGCUGUAUGUUUCAUUAGUGCGAGAAACUGGAAAGUAUAAAGUGACUGAUUUUAUUGAAGAACAUAAUCACACUCUUCAUCUAUCAGAAACAGUUUAUAUGAUGAGAUCUCAACGGAAAAUCUCAGAAGUUCAUGCAGGAUUGAUUGAGUUAGCAUCCUCUUCUGGAAUCAAGCCAAAAGCAGCACUUGAGUUAAUGAGUAGAGAGGCUGGUGGGAGAGCUAAUCUUGGAUUUACUGAGAUUGAUCAGCAAAAUUAUCUUAGAACAAGACGGCAAAAAAAUUUGAUAUACGGUCAAGCUGCAUGCUUAUUAGGAUACUUUCAGAAACAAUUGACUACAAAUCCAUCUUUCCAAUAUGCAGUACAAUUAGAUAAUGUUGAGCAAAUUACAAACAUUUUUCGGGCUGAUGCUAGAAUGAUUAUUGAUUAUGCUAAUUUUGGUGAUGUGAUGACAUUUGACACUACAUAUGGUACUAAUAAAGAGCUAAGACCCUUAGGGGUGUUUACCGGUUUCAAUCAUCAUAGAGGGUUAACGGUUUUUGGGGCUGCUCUUUUAUAUGAUGAAACGGCAGAAUCAUUUAAGUGGCUGUUUGAAACCUUCUUAGUUGCACAUGGAGGUAAAAGGCCUAAAACAAUUUUUACGGAUCAAGAUCCCGCAAUGGCAAAAGCAUUGAGUGAGGUAAUGCCUAACACUUACCAUGGGUUAUGUACUUGGCACAUAAUGCAAAAUGGGAUAAAACAUUUGGGGAAUUUGAUGAAGGAUGGCUCUUCUUUUCUUCAAGUUUUUAAAACUUGUAUGUUUGAGUUUAAUGAUGAAAUUGAAUUUGAAAAAACUUGGGAGGACAUGAUUGACACAUAUGCUAUACAUGAUCGUAGUUGGUUGGAUACUAUCUACAAAUUGAAAGGAAAAUGGGCAAGGUGUUAUAUGAAGAAUGAAUUUACAUUGGGAAUACAAAGUACCCAACUUAGUGAAAGCUUGAAUGGAGAUUUGAAAGACUACUUGAGACCUGAUUUGGAUGUGGCAGAAUUUUUUGAACACUUUGAUCGGGUGAUUGAGCAAAAACGAGAAAGAGAGUUACGAGCUGAAUUUAAUGCAAGGCAAAAAUUUCCCCAGUUGAGCUUAAAAAAUUCUCCAUUGUUGAAGCAAGCAGUACAAGUGUACACACCUGUAAUAUUUCGAAUGCUUCAAGAUCAAUAUGACCUUGCAUCAGCUACAAGGAUAAAAAAUCGCCAAGAGGACUUGUUAGUGCAUACAUACACUAUUGAGUUUAUGCAUAAGCCUGGUGAGUUCAUAGUCUCUUAUGACACUGCAGAUAAGACAUUUUCAUGUAGUUGUAGAAAGUUUGAAAUUGUUGGAAUUUUAUGUUGUCAUGUUUUGAAAGUUUUUGACUUUCUUGAUAUAAAGACAAUUCCUAAUAUGUACAUUUUGAAAAGAUGGACAAGAGAGGCAAAAAGUGGAUGUAUCUUGGACAAUAGGAGAACCUAUGUGGAAGAAGAUAUCAACUUGAGUGUUACACAGCGAUAUAGAAGAUUAUGUCCUAAGUUGGUACGAUUAGCUUCUCGAGCGGCAGACAAUGAAGAGGCAUUUGCUUUAAUAGAGAAGAUGAUAGAAGAAUAUGAAAAGAAGGUUGAAGACAUUGUAGCAAAAAAUAUGGGUGGUCAUCAAUUGCCCCAUCAAAUGUCAUUAUGUAGUGGUGCAGAAAAUCUUGAUCCUAACCAACAUUUGAAAGAUUUGGUUGAAAGAGCAAAAGGUCUUAAGAAAAAAGAAGGUCGCAAGGGUGGAAAACGAAAGAAAAGUUGGGUUGAGAAGCAAACCAAAAAAAGGGGUAGAGUUGAAGUAAAUGAUGAGGUACCUAGUUUUGCUCCUAACAUGCAAAACAAUAAUUAUGACUCACAUAGAGAACAUUAUUCGCAUCAACGGACUUAUCCUGUCACUUUUUCCACGCCAAUGAUGACAUCUGAAUUGGGACCAAUUCAUAGUUACCAAACUAGUUUCACGUCAUUCUUAAGGGCACCAUUAACUCCAUUGUUGUCUCAAGUAUCAAAUCCUGUGGAUGUUAGUCAGGCACCAUUAACUCCAUCAUUGUCUCAAUUAACUCCAUCAUUGUCUCAAGUAUCAAAUGAUGCAGCUGUUUGUCAGGUAAAAUGUAAACGUUGUUUUAAAUGACUAUCUUCUUUACUUUUUUUUUUCAUGAACUUGUUAGAUUUGAAGUUUGUUUUUCUAAUUGGUUUGUAUUAUGAAGUUUCUGUUGAAGUGGUUUCUGUUGAAGUGGCUUUAUGUGUUUAAGUGGGUCUUGGCUGCCAGUCAGGUAGUUGAUGGGUUGGGAUAUUGUUAUUGCUUGGCUGUGUGUUGUCUUGAUGACUAGUGAUUUGGGUUGGCUCUUUGAUGGUUGAUAGCGAUGGAUGAUUUGGGUGUGGCUGGUUAUUGAUUGUCUCUCGGCUAUGCAUACCUGGCAAUGGGUGAUUUGGGUUUUGGCUUGGCCUGUGGUGAGUGACUUGCCUUUUGUGUGAGUGGCUUGGCCUGUGGUGAGUAACUCCAUCAUUCCUGACUGACCUUUUGUGUGAGUGGCUUGGCCUAUGAUGAGUAACUCCAUCAUUCCUGAUUGACCUUUUAUGUGAGUUCCACCUAUAACAAUUUGGAAAAUGAAGUUAGGUUCAAUUAUGGACUAACUCCAUGUGUUGAAAAUACAAAUGCUUGCUUGGAAACACAACACUUUUUUGGU